rnacentral:SRP_RNA from 1 species
GCUGGGCGUGGUGGCACACGCCUGUAGUCCCAGCUACUCUGGAGGCUGAGGUGGGAGAAUUGCUCGAACCCAGGAGGCAGAGGUUGCAGUGAGCCAAGAUCGCACCACUGCACUCCAGCCUGGGUGACAGAGCGAGACUCCAUCUCAA